rnacentral:rRNA from 1 species
UAGGGAAUCUUCCGCAAUGGGCGAAAGCCUGACGGAGCAACGCCGCGUGAGUGAUGAAGGUCUUCGAAUCGUAAAACUCUGUUAUUAGGGAAGAACAAAUGUGUAAGUAACUAUGCACGUCUUGACGGUACCUAAUCAGAAAGCCACGGCUAACUACGUGCCAGCAGCCGCGGUAAUACGUAGGUGGCAAGCGUUAUCCGGAAUUAUUGGGCGUAAAGCGCGCGUAGGCGGUUUUUUAAGUCUGAUGUGAAAGCCCACGGCUCAACCGUGGAGGGUCAUUGGAAACUGGAAAACUUGAGUGCAGAAGAGGAAAGUGGAAUUCCAUGUGUAGCGGUGAAAUGCGCAGAGAUAUGGAGGAACACCAGUGGCGAAGGCGACUUUCUGGUCUGUAACUGACGCUGAUGUGCGAAAGCGUGGGGAUCAAACAGG